UUCAGAGUCCUGGUGUCUCCCAGAUCCUAGGAUAAUAUCUGAAGGGAUUGGAGAUCAGCCAGAUCAGUUGUGUGCACAAAGAUACCUUGGAUCUGUCUUUUAAAUCAGCAAUUCCAUCCACAGAAUGGUACAGCAAGGUUGAAGCAUCAUUCCAUCUGGUAAGUGAAAGAUACUUUUUAUUUCUCUUCCAUGGUAAGAAUUAGAUAAGAGGUCCUUUCAGACA
rnacentral:lncRNA from 1 species